GCUUUAUUUAAAAGGGAUAGUUCAGAAUUUUUUGAUAGUUCAGAUUUUUUAAAAUGAUUUUUUCAACAGAGAUGCAAGAUGUGUUUCUUGCUGUAAAAGUAAUUUUUAGCAUUCUUUUUUUAAAAGUUAUUUCAUACCCAAAUGGACAUCAAAACAGUUUUAAGAUUGUUCUUGACUUUUAUUAAUUUAAUUAUCAUAAAUGUUAUAGCAAAUCACAAACUCAUUCUACAGAUGCCCAGUAUUUUCAGGGGCACUAAAAGUUGCUUUCCAUAGUUUCUUACACUGUAUUACUUCUGCAGCAAAUAAAUAUGCAUGAGUAAAUAUAAUCAUAUAGUUGAAAUAUUAUGGUACUUUAAAGAUUCUUAAUGAGACCUGCCUUACAUCAGCAACAUUUUGAGACUAUUUUAAAAUGGCAGAAGACAUUUUAUUUUUUAUCUUGGUCCAACUGUGAUGAACCCGAGUUCAUCAAAGUGAGGAGCCGCCUACAGGAAGUGAGCAGUGGCGCCCCCAAGAAGGGAUCUGAGGUUAAAAAUUUUUUUUUUCUGGGUACCCUUCAGAGUAUGGUCAUUUUUGAUUGGAUGUCGCUUAACAACCUGCCCAACCCCAAACAUUUUGACAUAUUUGCUUCUAGCAAAUAAUUUCCCCUGCUCACUUUUGAUUAAUUGAAAUAACCUCCUUCAACUGGAUGGCAACUCUCAAAAAAGCAAUACACAUUUUCCUCAAGAGAUAUGUGCGACAAUUUUGUCAAUUUUAAUUGAUCUCAGGUGAAACUGCUGUAUAAUGCAAAACCCAAAUUUAUAUUCUAUGUGUUAGAAAAAGAAGUUGCACCUGUUAACAAUGAGAACUGGGAACAUCAGUAAGAGAUCUUCACAUAUCAUAAUCAAUUAAUAAAACUCUAUAAAAUGUGUACUUUAAGAUGUGGACUUUAGAGGCCAAUAUUGCAAAAUCAUUUCUGUUUAGAAAGCAGGGAAAUCCUGUACAACAAGCCUGACUGAACAGAAACUUGUGAACUUAACUACAUGUGCAUGUCAAUAAAUGAGAAUAUCUUCCAAAUAAUAAUUUAAUUCAAUAAUUCACUUCAAAAAUGGAAACUCUGACAUCAAACGGAUUCACUUAGUAACGAGGUGAUAUAUUUCAAGCAUUUAUUUAUGUUAAUGUUGAUGGCUAUGGCUUACAGCUGAUGAAAACCCAACUGUCAGUUUCUCCAGAAAUUGCAUAAGACCAUCUUACUAAGGUCUUUAAUACAGAAAUGUUAUGAUAGAGUUGUAAUCAUAGGCAACUCUAUGAUUUGCCUAUGAUUAGGCAACAAGACAACAGACUGCCUGUUGCCUUGUCGACAGCUAAGUUUAGUAGCAAUGUUUGCAUGUGACUAGAAAGUUGGUUGGAAGAAAAACAAAUUUGGUUGAAAAAAAACCCCAGGACAAACCGCAGCCUUAGCAGGAUUGUAAAGCCAAAUCUGUUAAAGAGUUUGAGGAAGAAUUACAAAGUGGAGUUGGUGUUUCAAGAAACACAACUCACAGACAUGUUAGUGUUGAUAUUUAUGCAGUGGCCUCCAGAAGCUGCCCUGGAGUAGCUCAAAUCCGCUGAAACAAAAGGUUUAGACCUCCAGUAAAAUGACUUAGAACUAACUGCUUACUUUAAUAGCCAAAUAAUAAAUACAUCUAAAUAAGCAUUAAUAUGCACAGUGGAAGCCCUCUUAGCAUUUCUGCAGAAGCUAACAUCAAUGCUCCCCCAUUACUUGAAGGUCCAGCCAAUCAGCUCUGACGAAAAUGAAUGGUGUUCCUGGAUUAGCUACUUUGCACAAGCCAGCCAAUAGGGUGUCAAGUUACGUUAUCCAAAGGUAUUUUUGUUUAUUUUUUAUACGCUCCAUGAAAAAGCAUGGCAAAACAUAGGCAAAGUUUUCACAAAACAUUUUUUUUUAAAAAAAAAGCAAAAACUCAACUUUGGCAGGGGUCCAACAUAUUUCUGUAUUAGAUUUUCUGAUAAAAAAAGAAAAAAAACCCUAAACUGCGAGCUUUAAUUAGCUGAAAGACAUAAUCAUCAGAAUAAAUAGAAGCAAACAUUUCAGUCUGUGUGCUGAGUAUGAAAAUAUAUAAGUCUGAACUCUUCAAAUAGAAUUACUGCGAUAAAUGGACUUUUCUUUGUUCUCAUUCAUCAGGAUGUUCCUAAUAAACUGCAUUGAGGCUCUACGGAUGACACCUUCAAACUUUCUUCGCUUUAUUACCCUGUUAGUCACAGCAGCCUGUGGUUAGUAACAAUGCGAAAGCUGACUGCCAAAAGCAAACUACAAGAUACAGGAGGAUUCCUUCACAUUACUCUGGCAUUGUGUGUUUUUUUUUACAUUACUUUGCAGCAGAGAGGCGGAGGCUGGCUCUCACAUUCCCACACUUGUACCCUGACAAAGUCUACAGCAUAUGGCUUUUUUUAACAUGGUUUUGCCUCCUAAUGUCCCUUCAUACAGUCAGACAAGGGAUCAAAUCUAAAGUUCAACACACAGAGAAACAAUAGAGGACACGUUCUUUCUCUAGAACCUUCUAUUAAACAAUAGACAGGUUACCCCGAACAUAAACUCAAGAUUGUUGUAAUAUCUUUACCAGUCAAAUUACAGUAAUAACCAUCAGAUUGGAGGUUUCACUUUAGUUAAGAGCAGCUCAUUUUAAGGAUUAAAGGAUGAUAAAUUACAGUUUUAUCAUACAAAAUGAUCAACAUUAAAUAUCUGAUUUUUAAUCCAUUAAGAAGUGUACCACUACCAACCCUUAUGGACUUCAAACAGCAUCAAAAAUAAUCAGUGAGGAAAUAACAGUUGGUACAGAUACAUGUACAGUCUACUUCAAGUAAAUCCUUAAAACAUAUAAAGUGAAUAAUAGUGCAUUAUAUAGCAUUAAAAAC